GUAGAAUGGUCCCCAAGUGAGCCGAGGACAAGAUCCCACUUGUCUUCAUGGGAUAAUAUUGAAGGCUAACAGCAUUUUCCUGGUCCGUCACUACUGUUCCACAAGACAGUUCCUGAGAACCAUCCCAUCUGCAGACCGCAGGAGAACAAGGUCUCAGUAUUGGGAAGACAUGCUUCAACCAGGGGGUGGGUGCUAGGUUUUAUGGAAGAAGAAGCUGAGGCCACUGUUUUCUUGAUUGCUUCAAGCUUGCAAAUUACUCAGUUCCGAAGAUCUUUUGUAAAGUCAACAAAAAGACACAGUGAAUAUGGACACAAGGCAGUUCUAGCAUAAGAGCUCAGAAGCAAGAUUUUCUCCCAGG